rnacentral:rRNA from 1 species
GAUGAACGCUGGCGGCGUGCCUAAUACAUGCAAGUCGAGCGAACGGACGAGAAGCUUGCUUCUCUGAUGUUAGCGGCGGACGGGUGAGUAACACGUGGAUAACCUACCUAUAAGACUGGGAUAACUUCGGGAAACCGGAGCUAAUACCGGAUAAUAUUUUGAACCGCAUGGUUCAAAAGUGAAAGACGGUCUUGCUGUCACUUAUAGAUGGAUCCGCGCUGCAUUAGCUAGUUGGUAAGGUAACGGCUUACCAAGGCAACGAUGCAUAGCCGACCUGAGAGGGGGAACGGCCAAAAUGGAACUGAGAAACGGUCCAGACUCCUAAGGGAGGCAGCAGUAGGGAAUCUUGCGCAAAGGGCGAAAGCCUGAAGGAGCAAAGCCGCGUGAGUGAUGAAGGUCUUCGGAUCGUAAAACUCUGUUAUUAGGGAAGAACAUAUGUGUAAGUAACUGUGCACAUCUUGACGGUACCUAAUCAGAAAGCCACGGCUAACUACGUG